rnacentral:SRP_RNA from 1 species
CCGUGCUAGAUGGGGAGGUAGCGGUGCCCUGUAACCCGCAAUCCGCUAUAGCGGGGUCGAAUUCCUGCCUGCGGGCUUGGCUUGUGGGGUCCGGCCGCCGUAAGGAGCGAAGAAGGUCGGGUCUCGCGCGACGAAGAUUCCCGAACCGUGUCAGGUCCUGGCGGAAGCAGCACUAAGGGAAACCCUUCGGGUGCCGCGAGGGCGCCUGGCCCGAGCCACCUGCGGCAGGUAACGCCCGGAAGCCAUUGUUCAACGGCAGGUGCACGG